rnacentral:rRNA from 1 species
ACAAACGCUGGCGGCGUGCCUAAAACAUGCAAGUCGAACGAUCCGUUUCGGCGGAGAGUGGCGGACGGCUGAGUAACACGUAGGUAACCUACCCUUGAGUGGGGAAUAGCCCUCCGAAAGGAGGGAUAAUACCGCAUACGAUCGUCAUUCUUCGGGGUGGCGAGGAAAGCCGAAAGGCGCUCGAGGAUGGGCCUGCGGCCGAUUAGCUUGUUGGUGGGGUAACGGCCCACCAAGGCUGCGAUCGGUAGCUGGUCUAAGAGGAUGAUCAGCCAGACUGGGACUGCGACACGGCCCAGACUCCUACGGGAGGCAGCAGUUAGGAAUUUUGGGCAAUGGGCGAAAGCCUGACCCAGCAACGCCGCGUGGGUGACGAAGGCCUUCGGGUCGUAAAGCCCUUUUGCACGGGAAGAUGAUGACGGUACCGUGCGAAUAAGCCCCGGCUAACUACGU